AAAGCCCUGGGGCCUCUCCAGCGAGGAUCCCGGCACCAGCUCRCUGUUUGGACUGUAAACUCUUCAGGGCGGAUUUUGCCUGACAGUGAUUCACUCUGCUCAGCGGGAGAUUUUCAGCACAAUCACAAGACARAAAGGAAGACAGAAAUUCCGUAUUGUUGCCACAACUUGAUGUAGAAGCUCUGAUGCCCAGAAAACUUUUUAACAGGCUGCUCCUAUUUUUUUCCCAUC